GUGGGGUAUGAUUUACUCCCUGUAAUCCCAGUUAACUGACAGGCUGAGGCUGGUGCAUCUCCUGAGUUUGGAAGUUCUGAGCUUCAGCAGGCUAUGUUGAUGAGGUGUCCCAACAGUAUUCAACAUCUUUAUGGUGAAUCCUAUUGAGUGGGGGCCACCAGGUUGCCUAAGGAAGGUCGAAUCUGCCCAAGUUGGAAACAGAGCAGGUCAACAUUUUUGUGCCAAUAAGUAGUGGGUUCCAGCCCAUGAGUUACACCUAAACUUCUGGUCUGAGAUGGGAAGAUUUAGUCUCA
rnacentral:SRP_RNA from 1 species